rfam:Anaerovibrio sp. JC8 JC8_001, whole genome shotgun sequence.
UCCAUCGUGAGGUGGAAUCUGAAGGAAGGUGUAGGCAAAUCUCCGGUCUGACGAACCCUAAAUGACCGAUAUGUAAUGACCUCUUGUCAAGUAUAAAAUGACAGGAAUCACC